GUGGGGAAUUUUGGACAAUGGGGGAAACCCUGAUCCAGCGACGCCGCGUGAAGGAUGAAGGCCUUCGGGUUGUAAACUUCUUUUGGAGGGGACGAAUAAAUUGACGGUACCCUCAGAAAAAGCCACGGCUAACUACGUGCCAGCAGCCGCGGUAAUACGUAGGUGGCGAGCGUUACUCGGAAUUACUAGGCGUAAAGCGUAUGUAGGCGGUUGUAUAAGUCUAUGGUGAAAUUUCCUGGCUACACUGGGAAGGGACAUAGAUACUGUAUGGCUUGAGUGUUGGAGGGGGAGACGGAAUUCCUGGUGUAGCGGUGAAAUGCGUAGAUAUCAGGAGGAACACCGAUGGCGAAAGCAGUCUCCUGGCCAAAUACUGACGCUGAGGCGCAAAAGCGUGGGGCGCAAACAGGAUUAGAAACCCCGGUAGUCC
rnacentral:rRNA from 1 species